GGGUUGUGAGGUUAAGCGACUAAGCGUACACGGUGGAUGCCCUGGCAGUCAGAGGCGAUGAAGGACGUGCUAAUCUGCGAAAAGCGCCGGCGAGGUGAUAUGAACCUUUGACCCGGCGAUGUCCGAAUGGGGAAACCCAGUGCAAUCCGUUGCACUAUCGUUAACUGAAUACAUAGGUUAACGAGGCGAACCGGGGGAACUGAAACAUCUAAGUACCCCGAGGAAAAGAAAUCAACCGAGAUUCCCCCAGUAGCGGCGAGCGAACGGGGAGCAGCCCGGAGUCUGAAUCAGCUUGUGUGUUAGUGGAACGGUCUGGAAAGUCCGACGGUACAGGGUGAUAGUCCCGUACACGAAAGCACACUUGCUGUGAACUCGAAGAGUAGGGCGGGACACGUGGUAUCCUGUCUGAAUAUGGGGGGACCAUCCUCCAAGGCUAAAUACUCCUGACUGACCGAUAGUGAACCAGUACCGUGAGGGAAAGGCGAAAAGAACCCCGGCGAGGGGAGUGAAAAAGAACCUGAAACCGUGUACGUACAAGCAGUGGGAGCCUCUUUAUGGGGUGACUGCGUACCUUUUGUAUAAUGGGUCAGCGACUUAUAUUCUGUAGCAAGGUUAACCGUAUAGGGGAGCCGAAGGGAAACCGAGUCUUAACUGGGCGUUAAGUUGCAGGGUAUAGACCCGAAACCCGGUGAUCUAGCCAUGGGCAGGUUGAAGGUUGGGUAACACUAACUGGAGGACCGAACCGACUAAUGUUGAAAAAUUAGCGGAUGACCUGUGGCUGGGGGUGAAAGGCCAAUCAAACCGGGAGAUAGCUGGUUCUCCCCGAAAGCUAUUUAGGUAGCGCCUCGUGAACUCAUCUUCGGGGGUAGAGCACUGUUUCGGCUAGGGGGCCAUCCCGGCUUACCAACCCGAUGCAAACUACGAAUACCGAAGAAUGUUAUCACGGGAGACACACGGCGGGUGCUAACGUCCGUCGUGAAGAGGGAAACAACCCAGACCGCCAGCUAAGGUCCCAAAGUCAUGGUUAAGUGGGAAACGAUGUGGGAAGGCACAGACAGCCAGGAUGUUGGCUUAGAAGCAGCCAUCAUUUAAAGAAAGCGUAAUAGCUCACUGGUCGAGUCGGCCUGCGCGGAAGAUGUAACGGGGCUAAACCAUGCACCGAAGCUGCGGCAGCGACGCUUAGGCGUUGUUGGGUAGGGGAGCGUUCUGUAAGCCGUUGAAGGUGUCCUGUGAGGGGUGCUGGAGGUAUCAGAAGUGCGAAUGCUGACAUAAGUAACGAUAAAGCGGGUGAAAAGCCCGCUCGCCGGAAGACCAAGGGUUCCUGUCCAACGUUAAUCGGGGCAGGGUGAGUCGACCCCUAAGGCGAGGCCGAAAGGCGUAGUCGAUGGGAAACAGGUUAAUAUUCCUGUACUUGGUGUUACUGCGAAGGGGGGACGGAGAAGGCUAUGUCAGCCGGGCGACGGUUGUCCCGGUUUAAGCAUGUAGGCGGAGGUUCCAGGUAAAUCCGGUACCUUGUUAACGCUGAGGUGUGAUGACGAGGCACUACGGUGCUGAAGUGAUAAAUGCCCUGCUUCCAGGAAAAGCCUCUAAGCAUCAGGUAACACGAAAUCGUACCCCAAACCGACACAGGUGGUCAGGUAGAGAAUACCAAGGCGCUUGAGAGAACUCGGGUGAAGGAACUAGGCAAAAUGGUGCCGUAACUUCGGGAGAAGGCACGCUGAUGUGUAGGUGAAGCCCCUGCGGGCGGAGCUGAAAUCAGUCGAAGAUACCAGCUGGCUGCAACUGUUUAUUAAAAACACAGCACUGUGCAAACACGAAAGUGGACGUAUACGGUGUGACGCCUGCCCGGUGCCGGAAGGUUAAUUGAUGGGGUUAGCGGCAACGCGAAGCUCUUGAUCGAAGCCCCGGUAAACGGCGGCCGUAACUAUAACGGUCCUAAGGUAGCGAAAUUCCUUGUCGGGUAAGUUCCGACCUGCACGAAUGGCGUAAUGAUGGCCAGGCUGUCUCCACCCGAGACUCAGUGAAAUUGAACUCGCUGUGAAGAUGCAGUGUACCCGCGGCAAGACGGAAAGACCCCGUGAACCUUUACUAUAGCUUGACACUGAACACUGGUCCUUGAUGUGUAGGAUAGGUGGGAGGCUUUGAAGCGUGGACGCCAGUCUGCGUGGAGCCAACCUUGAAAUACCACCCUUUAAUGGCUGGUGUUCUAACGUAGACCCGUAAUCCGGGUUGCGGACAGUGUCUGGUGGGUAGUUUGACUGGGGCGGUCUCCUCCCAAAGAGUAACGGAGGAGCACGAAGGUUGGCUAAUCCUGGUCGGACAUCAGGAGGUUAGUGCAAUGGCAUAAGCCAGCUUGACUGCGAGCGUGACGGCGCGAGCAGGUGCGAAAGCAGGUCAUAGUGAUCCGGUGGUUCUGAAUGGAAGGGCCAUCGCUCAACGGAUAAAAGGUACUCCGGGGAUAACAGGCUGAUACCGCCCAAGAGUUCAUAUCGACGGCGGUGUUUGGCACCUCGAUGUCGGCUCAUCACAUCCUGGGGCUGAAGUAGGUCCCAAGGGUAUGGCUGUUCGCCAUUUAAAGUGGUACGCGAGCUGGGUUUAGAACGUCGUGAGACAGUUCGGUCCCUAUCUGCCGUGGGCGCUGGAGAAUUGAGGGGGGCUGCUCCUAGUACGAGAGGACCGGAGUGGACGCAUCACUGGUGUUCGGGUUGUCAUGCCAAUGGCACUGCCCGGUAGCUAAAUGCGGAAGAGAUAAGUGCUGAAAGCAUCUAAGCACGAAACUUGCCCCGAGAUGAGUUCUCCCUGAGACUUUAAGUCUCCUGAAGGAACGUUGAAGACGACGACGUUGAUAGGUCGGGUGUGUAAGCGCAGCGAUGCGUUGAGCUAACCGAUACUAAUGAACCGUGAGGCUUAACCUUACAACGCCGAAGCUGUU
rnacentral:rRNA from 1 species